rnacentral:rRNA from 1 species
UACGUAGGGGGCUAGCGUUAUCCGGAAUUACUGGGCGUAAAGGGUGCGUAGGUGGUUUCUUAAGUCAGAGGUGAAAGGCUACGGCUCAACCGUAGUAAGCCUUUGAAACUGGGAAACUUGAGUGCAGGAGAGGAGAGUGGAAUUCCUGGUGUAGCGGUGAAAUGCGUAGAUAUCAGGAGGAACACCGGUGGCGAAGGCGGCUCCCUGGCGUAAGACUGACGCUGAGGUGCGAAAGCGUGGGGAGCGAACGGG